rnacentral:rRNA from 1 species
AACACAUGCAAGUCGAGGGGCAUCAUGGGAGUUGCUUGCAAUUCCUGAUGGCGACCGGCGCACGGGUGAGUAACGCGUAUCCAACCUUCCCCUCAGUAGGGCAUAGCCCGUAGAAAUGCGGAUUAAUACCCUAUGCGGUCCGAUGAGGACAUCUGAGCUGGACGAAAGGUUUACCGCUGAGGGAUGGGGAUGCGUCUGAUUAGGUAGUCGGCGGGGUAACGGCCCACCGAGCCAUCGAUCAGUAGGGGUUCUGAGAGGAAGGUCCCCCACACUGGUACUGAGACACGGACCAGACUCCUACGGGAGGCAGCAGUGAGGAAUAUUGGUCAAUGGGCGAGAGCCUGAACCAGCCAAGUAGCGUGCAGGAUGACGGCCCUACGGGUUGUAAACUGCUUUUAUGCGGGGAUAAAGUGAGGGACUUGUCCUUUUUGCAGGUACCGCAUGAAUAAGGACCGGCUAAUUCCGUGCCAGCAGCCGCGGUAAUACGGAAGGUCCAGGCGUUAUCCGGAUUUAUUGGGUUUAAAGGGAGCGCAGGCCGGUGUGUAAGCGUGACGUCAAAUACAGCCGCUCAACGGUUGUCCGCGUCGCGAACUGCAUGCCUUGAGUACGCUGCAAGUGGGCGGAAUUCGUGGUGUAGCGGUGAAAUGCUUAGAUAUCACGAAGAACUCCGAUUGCGAAGGCAGCCCGCUGUUKCGUCACUGACGCUGAGGCUCGAAGGUGCGGGUAUCGAACAGGAUUAGAUACCCUGGUAGUCCGCACUGUAAACGAUGGACACCCGCUGUGUGGCCUUUUUUGGUUGCGCGGCCAAGCGAAAGCAUUAAGUGUCCCACCUGGGGAGUACGCCGGCAACGGUGAAACUCAAAGGAAUUGACGGGGGCCCGCACAAGCGGAGGAACAUGUGGUUUAAUUCGAUGAUACGCGAGGAACCUUACCCGGGCUUGAACUGCAGGAGAACGAUCCAGAGAUGGUGAGGCUUCGGGGCUCCUGUGGAGGUGCUGCAUGGUUGUCGUCAGCUCGUGCCGUGAGGUGUCGGCUUAAGUGCCAUAACGAGCGCAACCCCUGCCUAUAGUUGCCAUCGGGUUUAGGCCGGGCACUCUGUAGGGACUGCCACCGCAAGGUGUGAGGAAGGUGGGGAUGACGUCAAAUCAGCACGGCCCUUACGUCCGGGGCUACACACGUGUUACAAUGGGGGGUACAGCGAGUCGGUCGUAUGCAAAUGCGGUCUAAUCAUGAAAGCCUCCCUCAGUUCGGAUUGGGGUCUGCAACCCGACCCCAUGAAGCUGGAUUCGCUAGUAAUCGCGCAUCAGCCAUGGCGCGGUGAAUACGUUCCCGGGCCUUGUACACACCGCCCGUCAAGCCAUGAAAGCCGGGGGCGCCUGAAGUCCGUGACCGCGAGGGUCGGCCUAGGGUGAUACCGGUGAUUGGGGCUAAGUCGUAAC